GGGGGCGUAGCCUAGCCAGGUAUGGCGACAGGCUCCAGACCUGUAGGCCGCCGGUUCAAGUCCGGCCGCCCCCA
rnacentral:tRNA from 1 species